UACGAAGGGGGCUAGCGUUGUUCGGAUUUACUGGGCGUAAAGCGCACGUAGGCGGAUCGUUAAGUCGGGGGUGAAAUCCUGGAGCUCAACUCCAGAACUGCCUUUAAUACUGCCAAUCUCGAGUCCGGAAGAGGGUGAGUGGAACUCCUAGUGUAGAGGUGGAAUUCGUAGAUAUUAGGAAGAACACCAGUGGCGAAGGCGGCUCACUGGUCCGGUACUGGACGCUGAGGUGCGAAAGCG
rnacentral:rRNA from 1 species